UGAGAUUCCUCGGAGAAAACUAUGGGCUAC
rnacentral:piRNA from 1 species